rnacentral:tRNA from 1 species
GCCCCUGUGGCGUAGUGGUAACGCGCUCGCGUGCUGCCAUCUCGUGAUGUACUCACACUGCAGACCUACUAACUGCGCGCGGUAUUCCCCUAUCCCCCCAGGUCUGCUAGGAGCAUGGGUACAUUACGGGGGCCAUUAGAGAGACCUCGGUUCGAAUCCGAGCAGAAGCA